AGUGAAUAGAUACCCCAGGUAGUCCACGCCGUAAACGUUGGGCGCUAGGUGUGGGGAACCUUCCACGUUCUCCGUGCCGUAAGCUAAACGCAUUAAGCGCCCCGCCUGGGGAGUACGGCCGCAAGGCUAAAACUCAAAAGGAAUUGAACGGGGGCCCGCACGAAGCGGCGGAGCAUGUUGCUUAAUUCGAUGCAACGCGAAGAACCUUACCUAGGCUUGACAUAUACCGAAAACUCAUAGAGAUAUGGGGUCCGCAAGGGCGGUAUACAGGUGGUGCAUGGUUGUCGUCAGCUCGUGUCGUGAGAUGUUGGGUUAAGUCCCGCAACGAGCGCAACCCUCGUCCUAUGUUGCCAGCGCGUUAUGGCGGGGACUCAUAGGAGACUGCCGGGGUCAACUCGGAGGAAGGUGGGGAUGACGUCAAAUCAUCAUGCCCCUUAUGUCUAGGGCUGCAAACAUGCUACAAUGGUCGGUACAAAGGGCUGCGAUACCGCAAGGUGGAGCGAAUCCCAAAAAGCCGGCCUCAGUUCGGAUUGGGGGUCUGCAACUCGACCCC
rnacentral:rRNA from 1 species